CUCCGUUGAAGUUGAAGUUGAUAUCCAUGUAUUUACCGAAGCGGCUGGAGUUAUCAUUGCGGUUGGUCUUAGCAUUUCCAAAGGCCUCUAACACACAGUUGGAUUUCAGGAGCACGUUCUUCACACUGCGAGGCACAGUGGACAAACUCUCUGUACACGGUUCAUCACAGAGUAAUUCCGCUGCUCCGAACAGAUGCGCUAAAAGCAGCAAGGAAUAGCUGUGACUGUGUGUUUAGUAGCUGCUGUACCUGAAAUGACGAUGCAUGUGUCUUUGGCUCGUCUCUUCAUGGCUUUAUAAGCGGCAUCUGCGACAGCAUACAGAGAAGACAUUUCUGUCAAAGUGGAUGGUGAGCAAAGAUGGUGGUCACGUUUUGGAGCAGCACCUGGGUUUUGCAGAUAGCUAUGUAUUCUUUGGCUGUUUGUCUUUUUUCCCAUUAUGUUUCUGUUGCCUAAAGAU